rnacentral:rRNA from 1 species
UAGGGAAUCUUCCACAAUGGACGCAAGUCUGAUGGAGCAACGCCGCGUGAGUGAAGAAGGUUUUCGGACCGUAAAGCUCUGUUGUUGGUGAAGAAGGAUAGAGGUAGUAACUGGCCUUUAUUUGACGGUAAUCAACCAGAAAGUCACGGCUAACUACGUGCCAGCAGCCGCGGUAAUACGUAGGUGGCAAGCGUUGUCCGGAUUUAUUGGGCGUAAAGCGAGCGCAGGCGGAAGAAUAAGUCUGAUGUGAAAGCCCUCGGCUUAACCGAGGAAUUGCAUCGGAAACUGUUUUCUUGAGUGCAGAAGAGGAGAGUAGAAACUCCAUGUGUAGCGGUGGAAUGCGUAGAUAUAUGGAAGAAUACCAGUGGCGAAGGCGGCUCUCUGGUCUGCAACUGACGCUGAGGCUCGAAAGCAUGGGUAGCGAACAGGAUUAGAUACCCUGGUAGUCCAUGCCGUAAACGAUGAGUGCUAAGUGUUGGGAGGCUUCCGCCUCUCAGUGCUGCAGCUAACGCAUUAAGCACUCCGCCUGGGGGAGUACGACCGCAAGGUUGAAAC